rnacentral:lncRNA from 1 species
CUAAUUCCUGCCGCCCGGUGGCCUGUACAGGCCCAGCACUGGUGGGCCUACAGACUCUCUUCUCCAGCCGGAGCUGGGACUGUUCAGGCACUGGGAGGCGGGAUGUGGGUCUGAAGAGCUUGGUUGCAGAAACUUCGGGGUGUACAAAGGCUGGCGGGAGCUGAGCCGAAAGAGCUUGUUUGCUGGGAGGCGGGAGAUGCAGCCAGGAGGAACAGCUGGGCCUGCAGAG